UCACAUGCAUCAUAUACCGAAAAGUCUAAAGAAUCUCUUAGAAGACAAAGAAAUAAUAAAAGUUGGGAUAGAUCCUUCGGGAGAUGCGCAAAAAUUGCAAGAAGACUAUGGAAUUUACGUGGCUAGUACCUUUGACAUACGUUACUUGGCCGUUAUGAUUGGGUGUAAACCAUUGGGUUUAGAAAAAUUAUCGCGGUUGGUCUUAAACGUAGAUCUUAUUAAGCCUUGGCAUAUAUCCGCUUCGAAUUGGGAAGACAAGAAGUUGAGCGACGCACAAAUCGAAUAUGCUGCUAAUGAUGCCUUUGCAGGAAUAGAGAUUUUUAAGCACUUAUCUUACAGACUGAAGAGAAGUAAUGAAUUGUUCUUCAGAAACGUUGACUUUGCAAGAAUCAAAAGUGAAAUAGAAGAUCUUGUAGGAUAUCCUUUCAUCGAAAAUUUUGUACAAAAGAAGUAAGUGAGGUAUUCACCAGCAUCAUUAUUACCUGGCAAUGACCCUUGCCGUCUUCAAGCGCUAAAUGGUGAACUUUUGUGUGGCUUGAGUUCAUCGAAAGCUGAGUGGUAUUUGGAGGAAGGAUUAGGAACGAAAGCAUUGUCUAAACCAUUUACAGUACGUUUAAACAAAGAACCGGCUUGUAAAGAACUUGGUUAUCAGGCGCCUCAUCUGAAUGAAUGCGCGAUUUGCAGUGGGCGUGAUGCUUUUGUACUUAGAACUAUCGUGCCAAUGGAAUAUCGUAAACAUUUCCCAGGUAGUUACUUAAAGUUCGAACUCAAUUUUAUUCAUACGAUGACGUAAAACUUGUAUGCGUUAAAUGUGAUCGCCUAAGUGAUAUAUGCGACGUCCAAAUUCACCAUGCAUUGAGCUUGAUAUGUAAUGCUCCUCGGGGCUAUGAGCAGGUAACUAAACAGAGGCUAAAAGAAAAUGAGUACGACAAGAUAAAAACAUGUCAUGAUUGCAAAGCUAGCAAAAAUUACGAAAUGUUUUUAAAAGUUUACUCUAAAGAUUGUCGCACUAGUGAGGAAAUGCUAAGCAGAGCGAGAGAUUCCGAUCACGGUGCAAAAGUGGUCAAAAAAUUCCAAACCGUAUAUGGAGGUUUAAGAGAGUUGGAAAUAUUGUGGAGAAACCAUUUUUCGGCAAAGAGAACGUCGUAUCCCGAAUACGUUGACAACGAAU